CCCGUCUGGAAACACGGACCAAGGAGUCUCAGAACAGUGCGAGUGUUGUGGUGAUGCAAAGCCAAGGCGCGCAGUGAAGGCAAGAUGUUACAAGGUCCGCAGUCUUAGCAGAUGGAAGGAUCGGCCCGUUGGUGCUCCUCGGAGCAGCGAUCGGAGUUGUAGCAGUGUUCUGGGGACCCGAAAGAUGGUGAUCUAUGCUUGUGUAGAAAGAAGUCAGGGGAAACUCUGAUGGAAGUUCGCAAACGGUUCUGACGUGCAAAUCGAUCGUGAGACAUGGGUAUAGGGGCGAAAGACUCAUCGAACCAUCGAGUAGCUGGUUCCCUCCGAAAUUUCCCUUAGGAUAGCAAUAGCUGGUGGUCCAGUUUCAUCAGGUAAAGCUAAUGAUUAGAGGUAUUGGGGACGAAAGGUCCUCGGCCUAUUCUCAAACUUUAAAUGGGUGAGAGCGGUCGGUUGCUUGGGUGAACUGACCGAUGGAAUGGACGGUUAUUAGUGGGCCAUUUCUGGUAAGCAGAACUGGCGAUGCGG
rnacentral:rRNA from 13 species